GAUAAUGGCUCAGGACGAACGCUGGCGGCGUGCCUAACACAUGCAAGUCGAACGGGGCUAGGAAAGCUUGCUUUCCGAAGCCUAGUGGCGGACGGGUGAGUAACGCGUGAGUAACCUGCCUUUCAGAGGGGAAUAACGUUCUGAAAAGAACGCUAAUACCGCAUAACGUACAGUUACCGCAUGGUAGCAGUACCAAAGGAGCAAUCCGCUGAAAGAUGGACUCGCGUCCGAUUAGCUAGUUGGUGGGUAAAGG
rnacentral:rRNA from 1 species